rnacentral:rRNA from 1 species
AUUGAACGCUGGCGGCAGGCCUAACACAUGCAAGUCGAGCGGAUGAAGGGAGCUUGCUCCUGGAUUCAGCGGCGGACGGGUGGGUAAUGCCUAGGAAUCUGCCUGGUAGUGGGGGAUAACGUCCGGAAACGGGCGCUAAUACCGCAUACGUCCUGAGGGAGAAAGUGGGGGAUCUUCGGACCUCACGCUAUCAGAUGAGCCUAGGUCGGAUUAGCUAGUUGGUGGGGUAAAGGCCUACCAAGGCGACGAUCCGUAACUGGUCUGAGAGGAUGAUCAGUCACACUGGAACUGAGACACGGUCCAGACUCCUAAGGGAGGCAGCAGUGGGGAAUAUUGGACAAUGGGCGAAAGCCUGAUCCAGCCAUGCCGCGUGUGUGAAGAAGGUCUUCGGAUUGUAAAGCACUUUAAGUUGGGAGGAAGGGCAGUAAGUUAAUACCUUGCUGUUUUGACGUUACCAACAGAAUAAGCACCGGCUAACUUCGUG